CACGUAGGGUGCAAGCGUUGUCCGGAAUUAUUGGGCGUAAAGAGCUCGUAGGCGGUCUGUCACGUCGGCUGUGAAAUCCCGAGGCUCAACCUCGGGUCUGCAGUCGAUACGGGCAAACUAGAGUAUUGCAGGGGAGACUGGAAUUCCUGGUGUAGCGGUGAAAUGCGCAGAUAUCAGGAGGAACACCGAUGGCGAAGGCAGGUCUCUGGGCCGAUACUGACGCUGAGGAGCGAAAGCGUGGGGAGCGAACAGG
rnacentral:rRNA from 1 species